AGAAUACGUACAUUUUGCAAAAUUCUGGCGUGCAAGUAGAAGGGUGUCUUCCUGUGGCACCAUGCCGAGACUGACGAAGUGAAAUAUGAAUCCUUUUCAAUCUGGUAAUUUGUAAAGGGUUUCUGAACAAUCUUUUGCGCUUAAAGUGAAGAACUAUUUUGGAACAAGACUAGAAUAGGUAAAAAAGAGCAAAGAAACUGCUGUUUUGUUAAAAAUAUACAAGAGAAAAAUUCGAUUAUGGCGCUGUCGCCAUGAUUGUGCGUGGCAGUGUUAGAAGCCUAGAAUUCAUAGUAGUUGUUGUUGUUGUUGUUUCAGGAACAUUCUCGCCGCUAGUUCUACGCCUGGCUGUUACUGUACAUCGUCAAAGGUGCUAAUGAACACUUUUUUAACGAAGGAUGAAGGCGAACACCUCAACAGCGAUUUUGAAUGUCAAGUACAUGACCCACAUGCAUAGAAGGUACAGAAAUUAUGAUUCAAGCCUGUGUAAAUAAGGUCUUAUAGAGCUUUUUUGUGCUUAUGAAUGUCUUUUUAAUUAAGAAAUGG